CCUUCGCUGAUGAGUGACCAUUUGACUUUCGUUCUCCUGAGCUCGCUGAAGCAACCUGUGAUUCUCUGAGGAGG
ensembl:snoRNA